rnacentral:rRNA from 1 species
ACGCUCGACACCUACGAGAGGCAGCAGUGAGGAAUAUUGGUCAAUGGGCGCAGGCCUGAACCAGCCAAGUAGCGUGAAGGAUGACUGCCCUAUGGGUUGUAAACUUCUUUUAUAUGGGAAUAAAGUUUUCCACGUGUGGAAUUUUGUAUGUACCAUAUGAAUAAGGAUCGGCUAACUCCGUGCCAGCAGCCGUGGUAAUCUGAGCGGGCUGGCAAGGC